rnacentral:piRNA from 1 species
UGAGCUUGUCAUUGGGUUAGCUCUCCGUGU